UACAGAGACUGCAAGCGUUAUUCGGAUUCACUGGGCGUAAAGGGCGCGCAGGCGGCCAAGUGUGUUAGGCGUGAAAGCCCGGGGCUUAACCUCGGAAUUGCACCUAAAACUACUUGGCUAGAGCAUUGGAGAGGGUAGCGGAAUUCACGGUGUAGCAGUGAAAUGCGUAGAUAUCUGGAGGAACACCGGUGGCGAAGGCGGCAUCCUGGACCGGUAUUGACGCUGAUGCGCGAAAGCCAGGGGAGCAAACGGG
rnacentral:rRNA from 1 species